UAUCGUUGAAUCCAUUUUAGUCAAACAUUGCGAUCAAUAGCUCACAAGAAAAAAGAACAUUGUACAGUAGAAGAGGCAUAUGUGAAUACAUUGCGCAAAUAACUGAUACCAGUUUUCUGAACUAGCCUGGUGGUACUUCAGAACAACAUUGUAUUCUCCAAAAAUAUGAAGGUAUGAAAAGAAGUAUUCUACACUUUGGAAAUUCAGAGAUUAAUUGGCUACAUUGGUGCAUUACCUAUCGGCCUGGGGUGGCCUGCCAUGGAGAUCGACGAGGCAGCAGCGCGACUGUGCUCAGCGCAGUUUGAGUGGGGUAGAAGACAGAGAAGUCCAUCGCUGCACGCAGCGGCAGCUGCACGCAGCGCAUCCACGGCUGGCGGAGCAUCGCGAUUAGGACUAGCUGGAAGUGCUACUUCGAGUAUAGAGCACCGCCAACUAGCGUAAUGUUUCGUAUUCGUUUUAUCCGUUGUACUAUGCACUGACAGCCGGACUGACUCAUCUGCUGCAAGCACUGCAUAUGUAUAGUACAGGCGAAAGGACACAAUAUUACCGUUGCACUGAACACUAUAUAAAGUAAACACUUCACCCAGCUGCAUGUAUUUAAGGCUCAUGCACCAGCCGCUGCGUGCAGGACCGAUCGUUUUGCUUCAAACACGCACACAAGCACCCGAGUUGCUGCGAUCCGUCGACGUCGCCGUGCCGCGAUGUCCCAGAGCUCAUCUUCCGCUCGUCGUCUCUGGACACCCCCGCCCCCGCUGCCAUUGAUCCUGUGCCCGAGGUGUGCCGGGAUGAGCACUAGAUGGUUUGUCUCCGGGAUAGACCGGAAUCCCGGCGUCCGUUUUUACAAGUGCCCGAACCAGGGGGACGGGAGGCCCGUGCGACUUUUGGUUGUGGGAGGACCAGUACGUGUUCUUCAUCACCAGCGUUGGCAUCAACCUUCUCAUCAAGGCGGCCGGAGGUGGGAGCAACGUGAUGUUUGGUAUCGGACGCGCCAUGGAAGAUGUACAUUUUUUUGGUCAAUGAAAAAUAACCAGUGUACAUAAUGCCGGGGCACGCGUACUACUGUAACCAAACACCGGGUCAUGAUUAAGAAAACGAGUAAGGACCAUUUUCUGCCAA